rnacentral:misc_RNA from 1 species
UUAAAAACCACAGACCUACAUAGACUAAAGGUAAAACUUAAGUAUGCAUUAAGAACUUUUGCUGCUUCAUUUUCCAGCAUGUUAAUAGUCCCUUCAAAACACAACUAGCCUCACCUCUAUAGAACCUAGAAGCAAUGUAGUAGGCAUUGGUCGUGGUAGGAUCACUUGGCGUUACACACCUGAGCGCCUCGGGAUGGCAAAUGUCACAGAACAUCCAGCUAAUCAGGGUAUCAUUAAUGGUAUUGCACCAAAUGGAGAUGCCCAAGAAGAAGAUCUCAUUGCUCGUAAACUUACAGAAAUGCAGGAUAUCCAUUUGCUGCCCAUCAAAGAGGAUAUUGCAGAAUGGAUAACGCACAGUUGGGGUAGAAAUUACUCCAAGUACAUUUCUAGAUGUACUAGACAGUGGAAUAGUCUUGUGCAAACUUUCUAAACUCAUUGAAACAAAAGCUAAAGAAUGUGAACGAAUGGUAAACUCACAGAGCCAUUGCCAAUUUACAAACUAAAGUGCAAUGAACGAGCCAAGUCAGGAACCUGGUUUGCACGGGACAAUGUGACUAAUUCUAGGCUGGUGCCGAGCUUAUGGGAUGACUGAUGAAACAAUGUUUGACUC